rnacentral:lncRNA from 1 species
UAAAUUAGAUAAUCAACUAAAUAAUUUCAAAGACAAUAGCAGUUAAAGAAACACAACUUGACCCUACAGUUUGUCAAAAACAAACUGCAUAUAUGGCCAAACAGUAAUUUUUAUUUCAUUCAUUCAUAGUUUAUUCAUGAUUUCCAUACACAUAAUUAAAAACAAAGCCAAAGGGACUUUGUCACAUCACAUGCAUGGUUACAUAGUUAAUUAAUCACAUUGAUAGCAGAAGGUAGUGACAUCAUGGCAACGGCACUGUGGAGGAAUAAACUUUGUGCAAACGCAAUCUAAGCAACCUGGUGAGUUACAUUUUUCUCUAACAUCAGUACACCACACAUGCUUGUGGGAAUGAUCUUGUGCAUUGGCAGCUAUUACAGCAUCCUGUUGUUGUGGAUUUGACAUCGUAAGCAGCUUCACCAUUUGAGAUUACUUGAGUUAUGAAGGAUGUUGGAUCGAAACGAGCAUCAACAACAGUUGAAGUGAAGCCCAAAAGAAAAACCAAUAAAGCUAACUUCAUCAUCUCACCACCAUUAUCACUAUCUCUUUCUCACUUGCUCCCUCGUAGUAAGUACUAUUUAUGGAUAUCUUUCUUUGCAGCUAGCCACAUGAGUCGAGACAACUACUACUUUUAAUUUCUACCGAAAAAAUGUAGAGCAAUGAUAUUUGUACAUUCAUUCCAUGACAACUUUAGUGACAAUCUUGUUUUUCUCUCUUUUUAUUGAUCAAAAACAAUGGAGAGAGAAAAAGAAAGAGAGAGGAUAAGAUCAUCAUAUGAGUAUGAGAGAGAAAGUUAUACAAAAGUUGUCACAAAUUGAUUGUACAAAUAUCAUUUCUCAAAAAUGUAUAAUACUAAUAUUUUCCUUCUCCUGCGUUCCGUUUUUGUGUUCUUAAUUUUAGGUAAAAUCACAUCACGGGUCGUUUAUUGUCAAAGAAUGACAAAAUAAUAAAAUAUAAUUAAGUUAAUGAUACAAUUAUAUCACGGGCAGUUUAUUGUCAAAGAACAGCAAAGUAAGGAAGAACCCGCGAGAUGCAAAAGAAAUGACGACAUAAGAGGGUUGUGAUGGUGGCCUGUGGCGGAGAAUGGCGAGGAGAGCCUUUGUGUUUCUAUGUUUUUUUUUUUAUUUUGUUCAUUUUUUUGUGGACUAGGGAAGAGAGAACAAAGAUAAGGUUUUGAUAAGGAAUUUAAGGAGAGAGAAAGAAAAAAAAAUUAAAACAAAAUGUCACAUAGGUGUAUAGGUUGUUGACACACACCGUAUAUUCCUACGGUUAAGGGUAUACAAGUCAAGUUUUUUUAAUCAUUCUUUACAAUCUUGGAAAGCGUGUCAUCCUUAAUUGCUCAAUGGAAAAUGAUGAGUGUUAUUUGAACAACCAAUUUGGUGACAACUUAUUUGACAAUUAUAUUUUACAAAGAAAAAAGUGGUAUUGGCACGGAAACCAUAACAAUAGAGAGAUAAAGUAAAAAGUAAUGUGAGUAUGAGAGAGAAAGUUGUUGUAAAAGUUGUUACUAAAUGGAUGUUCAAAUAUCAUUUCUCAUGGAAAAAAUACGGUGUGUGGAAAGUUGUUGGUUUUUGGUUGUUAAAAUAAGGCUUAAUUGCACUUUUUGCCCCCUAUCUUUUCAAAAGUUGCGAUUUUGGCCCCCUAACUAAUUAAAAUACAAAACAACCCCCUAUGUAUUGGAUCUUUGCUAGUUUUGGCCCCCAAGGCCACUUUUGACCCCCUAUCUUUCCACUUUGGGGGCCAAAACUGCCAAAGAUCCAAUACAUAUGGGGUUGUUUUGUAUUUUAAUUAGUUAGAGGGCUAAAAUCGCAACUUUUGAAAAGAUAGAAGGUCAAAAGUGCAAUUAAGCCUUAAAAUAAUAGUGCUCGGUGUAUAUAUGGCUGUUUUGGACAAAAUGGAUGUUCAUAAUUGAUUUUGGAGGUGUAGAAUUGAUCCUGACAUGUUUAAUUGUUGUUGAGUAUGAUUGAUUCUGUCUUUAGAGUUGUUCUACUUAAAACUAGGAUCUGUAGCUUUUGAUUUUGAAAUUGAUUUUCAAACAUAAAUCUAAAUCAAUUCUAUCAAAAUUAACUGUUCCAACAGCACAACCAAACACAGACUUCGUUGAAGAAGUUGAUUCAUCUACGUAUAUACAGCGAGUUAAACUUCAGCUGUAAAACUCGUUAGACCUCUUGUCACUUAUAAAACUUAGUAAACAUGUUAAAACACACAAAUAUCCCCAAAAGGGAGAUGGAUUGAGCUUACUACCCUAAGUGCGGAGACACAAAGAUCAAGACAAACCCAAAACCUCGUUCAAAACCAUCCUAACCCAUCUCCUCCUUAACUAACUACAGUCUUAACAUACAACCUUAAUUCAGAUUAAUUUUUUAAGUUAUAUGUGAUAAGAAACAAACUUCUCCAACUCAGCAACUCAAAAAAGUUGAAUAUCAUUAAAUUUCAAUUUUUUUUUACUUAUUUAAUCAUAAUUAUUAAACUUUUGACAUGUUAAUUAAUUAAAUUAUAAACUAUAAAAGAUUAUACUAGUUAAUAGAAAAAUUAAUAUUGCCAAUUUAUUCCAUCAAUCAAUAUUUAUUGAUUUGAGUUUGUACAUUUAUUACAAGAGUAGAUGUAAUCUUCGCAACGGCAUGUAGGAGGCAACCCUGAGUCACAAACGCAAUUAUCGCAACCUGGGUGACAAGAUCGUCCUGUAGCAUCAUUACAACGACAUGGAGGAAAAGUCAAACUUGAGCACUCACAGUCAUUACAGCACCCUUCGUUAUUUUGCUCUUGAGUGAUGAAGGUUGUUGGAUCCAAACCAGCAUCAACUACAAUUGCAAUGAAACCUAAGAGGAAAAGCAAGAAAGAUAACUUCAUUAUUGCUCUCGAUAAUUCUUUAUGACACUUGCAAAGAGGCAAGCAACUACAUGGGUCUAUUUAUAUAGAGUGCAUUUUAUUUAAUUAUUUAAAUUAAAUAUUCACAAUAUAUGAAAACCCAAAAGAUUUAUUUUAAAUAAUAUUUUUAAUAAGAGUCAAUCAUGGUGGUCAAUAGUGAUUAAUACGGU